AACGAACGCUGGCGGCAGGCUUAACACAUGCAAGUCGAACGCCCCGCCAGGGGAGUGGCCGACGGGUGAGUAACGCGUGGGAACAUACCCUUUUCUACGGAAUAGCUCUGGGAAACUGGAAUUAAUACCGUAUACGCCCUACGGGGGAAAGAUUUAUCGGGGAAGGAUUGGCCCGCGUUGGAUUAGCUAGUUGGUGGGGUAAAGGCCUACCAAGGCGACGAUCCAUAGCUGGUCUGAGAGGAUGAUCAGCCACAUUGGGACUGAGACACGGCCCAAACUCCUACGGGAGGCAGCAGUGGGGAAUAUUGGACAAUGGGCGCAGGCCUGAUCCAGCCAUGCCGCGUGAGUGAUGAAGGCCUUAGGGUUGUAAAGCUCUUUCACCGAUGAAGAUAAUGACGGUAGUCGGAGAAGAAGCCCCGGCUAACUUCGUG
rnacentral:rRNA from 1 species